rnacentral:rRNA from 1 species
AUUGAACGCUGGCGGCAUGCCUUACACAUGCAAGUCGAACGGCAGCACGGGUGCUUGCCCCUGGUGGCGAGUGGCGAACGGGUGAGUAAUACAUCGGAACAUGUCCUGUAGUGGGGGAUAGCCCGGCGAAAGCCGGAUUAAUACCGCAUACGAUCCACGGAUGAAAGCGGGGGACCUCGGGCCCUCCCCCUUACGGGUUGGCGGAUGGCGGUUUAGCUAGUUGGUGGGGUAAAGGCCUACCAAGGCGACGAUCAGUAGCUGGUCUGAGAGGACGACCAGCCACACUGGGACUGAGACACGGCCCAGACUCCUACGGGAGGCAGCAGUGGGGAAUUUUGGACAAUGGGCGAAAGCCUGAUCCAGCAAUGCCGCGUGUGUGAAGAAGGCCUUCGGGUUGUAAAGCACUUUUGUCCGGAAAGAAAUCCUUGGCUCUAAUACAGUCGGGGGAUGACGGUACCGGAAGAAUAAGCACCGGCUAACUACGUG